UACGUAGGGUGCAAGCGUUGUCCGGAAUUAUUGGGCGUAAAGAGCUCGUAGGCGGCCUGUUGCGUCCGCUGUGAAAUCCCGGGGCUCAACCCCGGGCCUGCAGUGGAUACGGGCUGGCUAGAGGCAGGCAGGGGAGAACGGAAUUCCUGGUGUAGCGGUGAAAUGCGCAGAUAUCGGAAGGAACAUCAGUGGCGAAAGCGACUUCCUGGACCAAUACUGACGCUCAUGUGCGAAAGCGUGGGGAGCAAACAGG
rnacentral:rRNA from 1 species